rnacentral:rRNA from 1 species
AGAACGAACGCUGGCGGCAUGCCUAACACAUGCAAGUCGAACGAGACCUUCGGGUCUAGUGGCGCACGGGUGCGUAACGCGUGGGAAUCUGCCCUUGGGUUCGGAAUAACAGCGAGAAAUUGCUGCUAAUACCGGAUGAUGACGUAAGUCCAAAGAUUUAUCGCCCAAGGAUGAGCCCGCGUAGGAUUAGCUUGUUGGUGAGGUAAGAGCUCACCAAGGCGACGAUCCUUAGCUGGUCUGAGAGGAUGAUCAGCCACACUGGGACUGAGACACGGCCCAGACUCCUACGGGAGGCAGCAGUGGGGAAUAUUGGACAAUGGGCGAAAGCCUGAUCCAGCAAUGCCGCGUGAGUGAUGAAGGCCUUAGGGUUGUAAAGCUCUUUACCGGAUGAUAAUGACAGUACGGAGAAUAAGCUACCGCUAACUCCGUGCCAGCAGCCGC